rnacentral:rRNA from 1 species
UACGAAGGGUGCAAGCGUUACUCGGAAUUACUGGGCGUAAAGCGUGCGUAGGUGGUUUGUUAAGUCUGUUGUGAAAGCCCAGGGCCUACCACCGUGGAUGCCGGUGGAUACUGUCGGGCUAGAGUGCGGAAGAGGCGAGUGGAAUUCCUGGUGUAGCGGUGAAAUGACGCAGAUAUCAGGAGGAACACCGGUGGCGAAGGCGGGUCUCUGGGCCGACAUUGACGCU